rnacentral:rRNA from 1 species
GCUCGGUAUAACAGCCGCUGUUUAUUAGAUCUUAGUUAUCUACUUGGAUAACUCUGGCAAUUCUAGAGCUAAUACAUGCACGCAGUCUCGGACCUUCGGGAAAGAGCGCAUUUAUUAGAACAAAACCAAUCGAGCUUCGGCUUGUUUAUUGGUGACUCUGAAUAACUUAGUUAAUCGCAUGGUCUUAGUACCGGCGAUGUAUCUUUCAAAUGUCUGCCUUAUCAACUUUCGACGGUAGGUUAUACGCCUACCGUGGUUAUAACGGGUAACGGAGAAUAAGGGUUCGACUCCGGAGAGGGGGCUUGAGAAAUGGCCACCACAUCCAAGGAAGGCAGCAGGCGCGCAAAUUACCCAAUCCCAGAACGGGGAGGUAGUGACGAAAAAUAACGAGACAGUCCACUAUGUGGCCUGUCAUCGGAAUGGGUACAGUUUAAACUUCUUAACGAGGAUCUAUUAGAGGGCAAGUCUGGUGCCAGCAGCCGCGGUAAUUCCAGCUCUAAUAGCGUAUAUUAAAGUUGUUGUGGUUAAAACGCCCGUAGUUGGAUCUUCGGUCUUGAAGCUCGGUAAUUCGUAAGAAUUUAACUGAGUCUUCUGGCCUAAAUUUUAGUUUUCCCCUGAUGCUCUUUAUUGAGUGUCUUGGGUAGCUGGAACGUUUACUUUGAAAAAAUUAGAGUGCUAAAAGCAGGCUAUAUGCUUGAAUAAAGUGCAUGGAAUAAUGGAAUAGGACUUUAGUCUCAUUUUGUUGGUUUUCGAAAUUAAAGUAAUGAUUAAGAGGAACAGACGGGGGCAUUCGUAUUGUUGCGUUAGAGGUGAA